rnacentral:rRNA from 1 species
CAUUAACAAAUCCAAUAUGGGGGAGGGGGUGUCCCUGACCCAAUAUUAAACCGCUAGCUCGACCGUUAGGAAAAGCUAGUUGGAUAUAUAUGCGUGAAUGUAGACAGUGUGUGUAAUAAAAUUUAUUGACAACUUUUAACAAUGGAUCUCUAGGCUCCUGCAGCGAUGAAGAACGCAGCAAAAUGCGAAACGUGAUGCGAUUUGCAUGAAUCUGUGAGUCACCUAAUCUUUGAACGCGAAUGGCACUGUUAUGUAAGUAACAGUAUGUCUGUUUGAGAAUCGCAAAACAAGAUCAACUCUAGUUGAGAGUUGGGCAUGGCCUAAUAUUUUAUAUAUCUGGCUUGAAUAUAUCGAGUUGAUGAGCUUCCCAGUACGGCUCAAUGUGUGCUAGCGAGACAGUCGUCCCGAUCUCACAUUAAUGUCGCAUUGCAGAGUUCUGUCCACAGCUCGCUAAAACUUAUAAUCAAUUACGAUCUCAAAUCAGGCAAGAUUACCCGCUGAACUUAA